rnacentral:rRNA from 1 species
UACGGGGGAGCAAGCGUUGUUCGGAUUACUGGGCGUAAAGGGCGCGUAGGCGGUCAGCACAAGUCAGUUGUGAAAUCUCCGGGCUUAACUCGGAAAGGUCAACUGAUACUGUGCGACUAGAGUGCGGAAGGGGCAACUGGAAUUCUCGGUGUAGCGGUGAAAUGCGUAGAUAUCGAGAGGAACACCUGCGGCGAAGGCGGGUUGCUGGGCCGACACUGACGCUGAUGCGCGAAAGCCAGGGGAGCGAACGGG